UACAGAGGUCUCAAGCGUUGUUCGGAAUCACUGGGCGUAAAGGGCGCGUAGGCGGCUUGAUAAGUCGGGGGUGAAAGCCUGUGGCUCAACCACAGAAUUGCCUUCGAUACUGUCGAGCUUGAGACCGGAAGAGGUAAGUGGAACUGCGAGUGUAGAGGUGAAAUUCGUAGAUAUUCGCAAGAACACCAGUGGCGAAGGCGGCUUACUGGUCCGGUUCUGACGCUGAGGCGCGAAAGCGUGGGGAGCAAACAGG
rnacentral:rRNA from 1 species